rnacentral:rRNA from 1 species
UACGUAGGGUGCAGGCGUUAAUCGGAAUUACUGGGCGUAAAGCGUGCGCAGGCGGUUUCUUAAGUCAGAUGUGAAAGCCCCGGGCUUAACCUGGGAACUGCGUUUGAAACUGGGAGACUUGAGUGUGGCAGAGGGGGGUGGAAUUCCACGUGUAGCAGUGAAAUGCGUAGAUAUGUGGAGGAACACCGAUGGCGAAGGCAGCCCCCUGGGCCGACACUGACGCUCAGGCACGAAAGCGUGGGGAGCAAACAGG